GGCCGAACUAGGGUGGAAAAGAGCCUUCUCGCCGCUCCCCUCUGCAGACCAUUGUCAGCGCCACGGUCGCCAGCGCUUUCUGCACGGUGGUUUCAUCUUCUGUAUUAUGGGAGAGAAACUGGCUAUGUUUGCAAAUAGUAGUCAGGCCAAGAGAUAAACUAACAUGGAAAAGGGCGGCAAAGACUGUCUUCACCUUAUUGGAGGAAUUCGGUGGAGACCAGAGCAGGGAAUAUGCCUCGGAGACGGUGAGGAACGCACACACAGGAGAUCCAGUAACUUCCUUCAGGAGCCUUUACCGAAUAAAUCACCAUGACAUUUGUAUGAGUUGCAUCUUCCUUCAGAGAGCACAUACUACUCCCUGUUCAAGGUCUUCCAUUUUCUUCUUCACGGCUCUGCGUUUUAAAAGGGCAACACAUUUGUCUCUGUGCUUGGGGAACACUGUAAGCCUAUCUUAAAACGAUGUAAGGAAAUCCAGAGAACAGUAUAUCUGGUUCUUUUAAUAGUAAUAUUAUGUGAAUCAUAAAAUAAAGCCGUAUAAAGUGUUGCUCUGUA